CGCACAGGUUUUCCAGCCGAAAAGAGUUCCAUAAGUUUUGGCCUUGCGGUCGGUCUCCGUUCGUGCAUAAAAACCCCACGAACCCCUUGCCAUCCACAGUAAUCCUGGUGUUCGUCUGAAUCCCCAUAAAUGCUUAAAUAAAACUACCGAACGGCCGGUCGUUCGGUAGUUCCAGCACGAACUUACGAGCUCCUGGAGGUCUCAGCGGUGUUC
rnacentral:lncRNA from 1 species